AGUGAACGCUGGCGGUAGGCCUAACACAUGCAAGUCGAACGGCAGCACAGUAAGAGCUUGCUCUUACGGGUGGCGAGUGGCGGACGGGUGAGGAAUAUAUCGGAAUCUACUUUUUCGUGGGGGAUAACGUAGGGAAACUUACGCUAAUACCGCAUACGACCUACGGGUGAAAGCAGGGGAUCUUCGGACCUUGCGCGAUUGAAUGAGCCGAUGUCGGAUUAGCUAGUUGGCGGGGUAAAGGCCCACCAAGGCGACGAUCCGUAGCUGGUCUGAGAGGAGGAUCGGCCACACUGGAACUGAGACACGGUCCAGACUCCUACGGGAGGCAGCAGUGGGGAAUAUUGGACAAUGGGCGCAAGCCUGAUCCAGCCAGACCGCGUGGGUGAAGAAGGCCUUCGGGUUGUAAAGCCCUUUUGUUGGGAAAGAAAAGCAGCAGGUUAAUACCCCGCUGUUCUGACGGUACCCAAAGAAUAAGCACCGGCUAACUUCGUG
rnacentral:rRNA from 1 species